UGGGGAAUAUUGGACAAUGGGGGGAACCCUGAUCCAGCGAUGCCGCGUGUGUGAAGAAGGCCUGAGGGUUGUAAAGCACUUUCAGUGGGGAGGAGAGGUUAUAGGUUAAGAGCUGAUGACUGAGACGUUACCCACAGAAGAAGCACCGGCUAACUCCGUGCCAGCAGCCGCGGUAAUACGGAGGGUGCGAGCGUUAAUCGGAAUUAUUGGGCGUAAAGGGUGCGUAGGUGGUUAGAUAAGUUAUCUGUGAAAACCCUGGGCUUAACCUGGGGGAGAGAGAUAAAACUGUUGGACUAGAGUAUGGGAGAGGGUAGUGGAAUUUCCGGUGUAGCGGUGAAAUGCGUAGAGAUCGGAAGGAACACCGGUGGCGAAGGCGGCUACCUGGCCUAAUACUGACACUGAGGCACGAAAGCGUGGGGAGCAAACAGG
rnacentral:rRNA from 1 species